AUAGGAAGCAUCAAGCAGGAGCUCAAGCGUUAUUACUAAUUAUGUUGGUUAUCUCAGCAAAGGUCAGAUACCACCAAAGCACAUCUCGCUUGUCAAUUUAACUGUUACUCUGAACAUAGAGGGGAGCAAAUACACGGUACUAUAGUUCUCUUUAUCUUUCUUCAUGUAAUUUAUGCAGAGACAGAGGCUGCUGGUACACGCCUUCUCAUUAAUGGUAGAACAUGCUUACUACAG